rnacentral:rRNA from 1 species
UACGUAGGUGGCAAGCGUUGUCCGGAUUUACUGGCGUAAAGAGCGCGCAGGCGGUCGUUCAAGUCGCGUGUGAAAGCCCCCGGCUCAACUGGGGAGGGUCACGCGAUACUGAUCGACUCGAAGGCAGGAGAGGGAAGUGGAAUUCCCGGUGUAGUGGUGAAAUGCGUAGAUAUCGGGAGGAACACCAGUGGCGAAGGCGACUUCCUGGCCUGUUCUUGACGCUGAGGCGCGAAAGCUAGGG